UCCAUAGACAGAGCUCUGUUCCAGGGUCAC
rnacentral:piRNA from 1 species